AUUAACAUACUUAGCUUGUUUUGUUGUAUUUGCUUGAUGUUUGGCUAUGUUGGCGAAGUUGUCAAAAUCAGCCAGAGGUUUAUCUGCUAGCUAUACAUUUCGUUAGCAAACUUACUAGAUAACACACUCACUCAGACAUCGGUAACUUUACUGCAACUUCAAGUGCUCUUGAGUCGGAAUGCAUCCCAGCUUUGUUGGCUAGGUUGCCACAUGGGGCCCGUUCUUCGUACGUCGCUAACUCACUUAGCUGGAUUUGAUUGUUGGAUUGUUUGGUUCUUCGACGCUCAUCCUGGACUUGCUGUCAUAGCAACAGGUGCUUACGAUGGGAUCCUGCUUGGUGACCGGGGCUAUGCCUGCAGGCAGUAUUUUCUGACGCCAUUUCCUGAUCCAAACCCGUUACAAUGCAGCUCUAGGCAGGACAAGGGCACACACUGAAAUUACCUUUGGGCAACUAAAGGAAAGAUUUCAGUGUCUGAAGGGUUGCAUCUGACAGGGCCUGUGACAUUAUUGUUGCAUGUGCCAGUCUCCACAACAUUGCCACCAUCAGAAAGAAGAGGACACCUGUGGUGGAGGUACAGCCUGAUGAUGACCUCCAGCCAGUGCACUUGGACCAACCUAGUGGCAGAGCUGCACGGGACAGAAUUGUGGACCACCAUUUUUGAUUUGUUUUUUUUACAAACAAAAACAUUCAUUAAAUGAAUAGAAGACAAGACAACAUGCUUAGUUCCUUGAUUUUUAUUUCAAUUAUUCUUUGUCAAGAAAAGCCAGUGAUUGUCAUCUUUUGCCUGCAAUAAGAUAUAUUGUUAUCCAAGGUCAGCAAUAGUACUGUGUGAAAUAGUGUAUUAGCAUUUACUCUGAAGUUCCUUUUGAAGCAACUCAAUUUCUAGUGCCAGUUUUUUCUUCUUUAAAAAGGUGUCAAGUUCCAUUUCUCCCCUUAAUUUUAGUUUUUUCAGGUGAAAAUACUCAAUUUUCUGUUGUAGAUUAUGUUUAUAUAGGGUACAGAUAUCACCCUGUGCCAUUUUUGGAUAAAAAGAAUUACAAAAAAAACCCCCACAAGCCUCAUGCAACAGAAAUAAAAAGGAAAUAUACUACA